rnacentral:rRNA from 1 species
UACGUAGGCGGUUUGAUAAGUCAGGUGUAAAAGGCAAUGGCUCAACCAUUGUAAGCACUUGAAACUGUCAAACUUGAGUACAGGAGAGGUAAGUGGAAUUCCUAGUGUAGCGGUGAAAUGCGUAGAUAUUAGGAGGAACACCAGUGGCGAAGGCGACUUACUGGACUGUAACUGACGCUGGGGUACGAAAGCGUGGGGAGCGAACA